GAGUUUGAUCGUGGCUCAGAACGAACGCUGGCGGCAGGCCUAACACAUGCAAGUCGAACGCUGUAGCAAUACAGAGUGGCAGACGGGUGAGUAACGCGUGGGAACCUUCCCAGUGGUACGGAAUAGCUCAGGGAAACUUGAGGUAAUACCGUAUAAGCCCCUAGGGGGAAAGAUUUAUCGCCAUUGGAUGGGCCCGCGUCGGAUUAGCUAGUUGGUGAGGUAAUGGCUCACCAAGGCGACGAUCCGUAGCUGGUUUGAGAGAAUGACCAGCCACACUGGGACUGAGACACGGCCCAGACUCCUACGGGAGGCAGCAGUGGGGAAUAUUGGACAAUGGGCGCAAGCCUGAUCCAGCCAUGCCGCGUGAGUGACGAAGGCCUUAGGGUUGUAAAGCUCUUUUAGCAGGGACGAUAAUGACGGUACCUGCAGAAUAAGCUCCGGCUAACUUCGUGCCAGCAGCCGCAGUAAG
rnacentral:rRNA from 1 species